UUCCCUUUGUCAUCCUAUGCCUGGAGAUCACAGUGAGGCAGGGACAGCAAAGGGGUGC
rnacentral:pre_miRNA from 1 species